UACGGAGGAUCCGAGCGUUGUCCGGAUUUACUGGGUGUAAAGGGUGCGUAGGCGGCUCUGCAAGUCAGGCGUGAAAACCAUGGGCUUAACCCAUGGACUGCGUUUGAAACUGUGGGGCUUGAGUGAAGUAGAGGUAGGCGGAAUUCCCAGUGUAGCGGUGAAAUGCGUAGAGAUUGGGAGGAACACCAGUGGCGAAGGCGACUUUCUGGACUGUAACUGACGCUGAUGCACGAAAGCGUGGGGAGCAAAC
rnacentral:rRNA from 1 species